rnacentral:rRNA from 1 species
UACGUAGGGGGCCAGCGUUGCUCGGAAUUACUGGGCGUAAAGGGUUCGUAGGCGGUGCGGCAAGUCGGAAGUGAAAUCUCUGGGCUCAACUCAGAGACUGCUCCCGAAACUGCCGUGCUAGAGUGCGGGAGAGGCGAGUGGAAUUACAGGUGUAGCGGUGAAAUGCGUAGAUAUCUGUAGGAACACCCGUGGCGAAGGCGGCUCGCUGGACCGCAACUGACGCUGAGGAACGAAAGCUAGGGGAG